UUGGCGACCACCUAAUAAGUUCCACAUCUGAUUUCUCUUUCUCCUUUCACUUCUUUGAUCAUCGGAUUGUCUCUGUUUCGAUGAGUGAUUCCCCUAAAUCCUGGGUUGAUCCUUUCUCGGUGUCGGAGCCGGAGUUUAUUGAUGGUGUUCUUCAUAUCACUUAAGAAGUAGUGUAUGAAGGCCUGGAGCGGUUGAAGUGUUGUCUUGUUGUGCAAUUUCUUAGUGAUCGUCCGCCUAUGCGAGAUCAACAGGCCUAUGCGAAUCAAUGAUGAGGACAUGACGGUGAUGUUAUGGUUUUUAUAUGGAUAAUGGACUUUUAUUGUUUUAGUUCCCUCACAUGGAAACCUGUGAUUGGUUAGUCAGCUCAGGACCUUGGCAUAUGAAGAACUCUGCGAUUCUUUUUUGUCAACAGGGAGCUGGUAUUAAAGCAAUUGAGAAUACAUGUGCAGUGAAACCAGUCUAGAUCAAGCUCUCAAAUGUUCCUAUUUCACUGCAAUCUAGAUCAGGGCUAAGUAGAUUGACACGUUCCAUUGGUAAACCUCUCAAUAUGGAUUUGAUCACAAAAGAUAUUGUUGGCUCUAGAGCUAAGGUUUGUUAUGGACUGUGUUAUGGACUUGUCUAAUUCUAUCUCUCUGUUUGUGGUGGGCGGCCCUGUAUUUAAGUAACUGUUGAAUAUUUGCAGUUGUCAAUGAGAUCUACUAAUUGUACUAUCU
rnacentral:lncRNA from 1 species